GCCUGGGUGGCUCAGUCGGUUAGGCAUCAGACUUGAGCUCAGGUCGUGAUCUCGCGGUUUGUGGGUUCGAGCCCCACAUCGGGCU
rnacentral:tRNA from 1 species